UGGUACGAAGAAAGAGAACGUACCCGAUUCCGAUUCUCAUGUUCCCUCGUCAAACAUGUUCCAUUCUCUGGUUGAGGUUUGUCAAAUUGCAAAUAUUGACAGUAGCGAAGUUGAAGUUAGAUGACAAGUGACAACCCUAUGAUGGAAUUGGCAGUAGUUAUCAGCCCUUGUUUAUUGACAGUAGUUAUUUUAAUUUGCUCAUGUUAUUUUUGGAAAAUUGUGUAAAACUAGGCAUAUUGAAUUUUUGUUAAAUAUGAUGGUUAUUUACUUGUAAUGCUGUACUUUAGGAAUAGUGGAAAGACAUGGAUGCCUGAUUUUGAUUAUGAAUUGAAAUAUGAUAUCAAGGAAUAUAUCUCUUAUAUAAAAUUUUAAAUUAGUUCCACAAUACCAUGAUGAUCUGUAUCUUUUAAUAUUUAAAUUUGCAGCAUAGCAAGUGAUAUUGAUGUUAAGGCACAACUAAGCUUACUGGUUUUUAAUUUUUUGUUAUGAGCUUCUCUUUUUUUGUUGAUUAGUUAGUUUAUAAUAUUUUUUUGAAUAUAUAUUUUGAUCAUUGUCUCCCACAAUUUGUCCCCCUUCGUGAUCGACAGAUUCUCUUCAUUCUCUAGUUGAAUUUUAAUCACUAAUUAAGAUUCUAUUCAGUUUCCUCGCUGAUUCCGUCCCAUUCUCCAGUUGAGGAUAAAAUUUGGGAGUGAUAAGGUUUGAGUUCUGCAAUGAGCCUAGUGUUCACUAGUUUUUUCAAUUGUCAAUUGCAAAUGACGGGGUCAAUAGUUUCUUCAAUGCAAAAUUUUCUUCAUAAAAGUUUCUCUAACAAACCGCUGUUGUACUUUUUCAUCCCGACAAAAGCUUUGCGUCUACUCAGCUUCAAUUUCAAUCUUCUUGAUUUUGUUUGGAUCAAUACUACAAAAGUUCAAUUGAAUUAUCAGUGCAAGUUCGUUCUAUGAUGAACCAAGUUUUGCAUAUUGAAGGGCUAAAUUUGAAGGUCAUUAGAAGAAAGUAAACAUCUACAUAGUACUUCACCAACCAAGCCAAAGGUGGUCGUAUUGCAUCUCGCAGUCAUGUGAUAAAUGUAGAAGAAUACUUUGUUGAUAUUGGAAUCCCUGUUUUAUAUCGCAUAAGAAUUUGCCCAUUCUGUUUAAAGGUGCAGAGGAAUUCAAAGGCAUUUUUAAUCUGUUAGUAUGAGGUUCAAUUGAAUUAUCAGUGCAAGUUCGUUCUAUGAUGAACCAAGUUUUGCAUAUUGGCGUGCUAAAUUUGAAGAUCAUUAGAAGAAAGUAAACAUACUAGUGAUAACUUAAUCUUAGUCUUGGUUCGGUUUUGGAUAUUGAUUAUGUAUUCUUUUUAUAAGUAUUUGGUAAUACUUAAAUAUAUUAUGUUCAUAUUGUUGUGUGCAUUUUUAAUUUUUUUGUGUAUAUACUAUUUUUGAGGUAUUAAAAUAGAUUUAAAAA